AUUGAACGCUGGCGGCGGGCCUAACACAUGCAAGUCGAACGAGAGGCGGACGGGUGAGUAAUGUCUGGGCACCUGCCCGAUCGAGGGGGAUAACUACUGGAAACGGUGGCUAAUACCGCAUACCAUCGGAUGUGCCCACAUGGGAUUAGCUAGUCGGUGGGGUAAAGGCUCACCUAGGCGCCGCUCCCUAGCUGGUCUGAGAGGCUGACCAGCCAAACUGGAACUGAGACACGGUCCAGACGCCUACGGGAGGCAGGAGUGGGGAAUAUUGGACAAUGGGCGCAAGCCUGAUGCAGCAACGCCGCGUGAAUGAAGAAGGCCUUCGGGUUGUAAAGUACGGUAGUCGGGGAGGCGGUACCUGAACAGGAAGCAACGGCUAACUCCGUGCCAGCAGCCGCGGUAAUAC
rnacentral:rRNA from 1 species